UUCCGGUUGAUCCUGCCGGACCUGACUGCUAUCGGGGUGAGGCUAAGCCAUGCGAGCCUACGUCUCCGAGAUGCAGGAGGCGUGGCGUACGGCUCAGUAACACGUGGUCAACCUACCCCGUGGACGGGGACAACGUCGGGAAACUGACGUUAACCCCCGAUAGGGAAUGGGCUCUGGAAUGACCCAUUUCCGAAAAGUUGAGGGAGAAUUCUUCCUCAAUGCCACGGGAUGGGACCGCGUCCGAUCAGGUUGAUGGUGGGGUAACGGCCCACCAUGCCUGAGACCGGUACGGGCCCUGAGAGGGGGAGCCCGGAGAUGGAUCCUGAGACAAGGAUCCAGGCCCUACGGGGCGCAGCAGGCGCGAAACCUCCGCUAUACGCGAAAGCGUGACGGGGUCACCCCGAGUGCCGACCGCUGAGGUUGGCUUUUCCCUGGUCCAAAAGGCCAGGGGUAAUAAGGGGAGGGCAAGCUUGGUGUCAGCCGCCGCGGUAAUACCAACUCCCCGAGUGGUCAGGAUGUUUACUGGGCUUAAAGCGCCCGUAGCCGGCCUAGCAAGUUCCCUGUUAAAUCCGAUGUUCCAAGCAUUGGGCUGCAGGGAAUACUGCUAGGCUUGGGAGCGGGAGAGGUCGGCGGUACCUCCCGGGGAGGGGUAAAAUCCUUAGAUCCGGGGGGGACCACCAGUGGCGAAGGCGGCCGACCAGAACGCGUCCGACGGUGAGGGGCGAAAGCUGGGGGAGCGAUCCGGAUUAGAUACCCGGGUAGUCCCAGCUGUAAACGAUGCAGGCUAGGUGUGGGGGUAG
rnacentral:rRNA from 1 species